GAAGGAAAAAAAUUAAGGAUUUUUUAUUAUCCUUUUUUUCGGUUUAUAAUUUUUUCCAGCGGGUUUUUAACAAAACAUCGGAAUGGCGGUUAAAUGAUAUUCGAUGUGAUGUGUAUUAUUUUUUUGAUUUAAAAAAAAAAAAAAUAAAAUGGCAAAUGAUAUCAAUCUUGGGUGAAGAUUUGAAAAGUGUAUGAGAGGUGAAAUAACAAAAAAAAAAAAAAAAAAAUAUCCGAACGUCGUCAUCAUCCAUAAGCGUGUUGUGUGUGUAUAUCGUCAGAAAGGAUGUUUUUGUCAAUAAUAAUUUAUUGGAAAUUAAUUUAAUUUUGAUUUAAAUCAAAUCAAAUAUUUAGUGAAUUUGAAAAAGUGCAGUGAUUGUGUUCAAUAAAAUUAAAAAAAAAAAAAAUAUAUAUAUAAAAAAGGAUAACAGUGCAAACAAAAAAAAUCACAAAAAAAAUAUAUCUUUUUUAUUCAUCAUCAUCGUCAUCAUUAUUAUCUCCUCUUGAAAAUCGAUGUAAGAGGCAAACAUUUCUAGGAUUCAAGGACACAACUUUACAAAUUAAUUCAAUAUACCUACACCAACAUUUCGUUUGAAUCUUUUUUUUUAUUUUGAUUUUCUAAUUUAUAAUUUUUUCAUUUUGAAAAAAAAACUUGUAGUUUUUUUUUUAUAAAUAAUGCCGAAAUUCUUAUGAUGGAGACAUUCAUUGUCCUGGGACUAUGUUUUAUCCUAUACGAAGCAUUGGAUUUUUUUCAAGGAUGCAUGCAUAGUACACAACCAGCAACGUCCGAUCGAAUCGAAUCCUAUCGUCGUCAAAUAACUGAAGAAAAAAUUCGCGCUCUCCAACCGACAAGUCCGACAUCGAGUUUAUCAGCGUCGCCGAUAAUCGGCGAUAGUGUUGGUGGCAGUAGUCUAACUGUCUGUAAUAAUAUUGACAUUUCUAUAAAAUCACCGAAAUCAAGGCAUUUCGGUCGAUUUCCUGAAUCCUCAAUUGAUCAACGUUACGAAAUAAGUAAUAACUAUCAUCAGAGACAACAACAACAAAAAUUACUGCCAAACCAUCAGAAUCAUUCGAUAUUGUCAUCCUCGGCCUCGUUGCCACAUCAACAACAACAAGGACAUACCAUCACAAAUCCUACAGUACUCCCACCAUCAUCGAACAAUACAACGAAUUUCUCUUCACUUCCACGUGACUAUUAUUACUUGCAACAACAAAAGCAUAAAAAUACAACAAAAUUCCUGACGAAAUUUUCAUCAUCUUUGUCAGAUAAUCGAAUCUUUCCCGAAUUGGGUAGUGUCCUUGUUGGAGCAUCACCUGGUGUAGUAGGAACUACUGCUCCAGCAGCAACUUUUGAUAUUGUUCCGCCAACAGCAGCAGCAGCUCCUUUAGUCUUGGAUUUGAAAAGGGCAAUAUUUAGCGGAAAGAAGUCAUCAUCGCUCAAUGAGCCACGCAGUGCGAGACUAAAUUUUUGCGAAAGUAAUGAGGAAUAUUUGUCAUCGAGUGAUGACGAAGAAGAUGAUGAUGACGCCGAUGAAGGCGAUUACAGCUGUAGCAGUGAUAACGAUGAGCACGUGAAACGAAUUUAUAGUAUUUCGGAGAAAUUUUAAACUCCAUCAUAUCCAGUCGGGCGUGUGAGCUAUUUUUUUCUUAGUAUAAUAAACUCUCUCAAGUCGCGUUUAUUUUUUAUAUAUAAAUAAUAUGAACAAAAAAGAGUAUCUUGUCUCUGUAGAUACUAUAAAGAUAACAAAUUUUCUAAAAAAAAAGAAUUAAACUUUAAAAUAAAGAUUAAAUAACCAUCAAUACAGAUUCUGAUAAUAACAGAAAAUAAAAAAGGAAAUAAACUCCAUUAUAUUUUACUUCCACUAAAUAAAUUUUACAAAGUGAAAAUGAAAAACUAAUUAAAUUAAUUAAAAAUCUCUUCAAAGUGAAUUUAAAAAAUAUAUAUUCAGUGUAAUAGUUAGUGCAAUUUUCUACAAACAAAAAUAUAAAUUAUAAAAGAAAAUUGGAAAAUAAAUAAAAAAAAAUAAAAAAAAAACUUUUUACAUAAAGCAUCCUUCAUCCUUUAAUACUCCCGUCUGUCGUUUUAGAUAGUGCUGCAUAUACUCACACCCAUUAAACACAAUUCAUUAAUCCAAAUGUCCUUCAUAGAAGAUUCACCCCCAAUCGGGGUGAACAAAUCGCAUAACGUUAAAUCUAGUAAAAAUUAUCGUUCAGUGAAAUAAAUUUAAAAAGAAAAA